UACGGAGGGGGCUAGCGUUGUUCGGAAUUACUGGGCGUAAAGCGUGCGUAGGUGGUUUGUUAAGUCUGAUGUGAAAGCCCUGGGCUCAACCUGGGAAUUGCAUUGGAUACUGGCAGGCUAGAGUGCGGUAGAGGGUAGUGGAAUUCCCGGUGUAGCAGUGAAAUGCGUAGAGAUCGGGAGGAACACCAGUGGCGAAGGCGACUACCUGGACCAGCACUGACACUGAGGCACGAAAGCGUGGGGAGCAAACAGG
rnacentral:rRNA from 1 species